rnacentral:misc_RNA from 1 species
GAUGAAGAACGUAGCGAAAUGCGAUACUUGGUGUGAAUUGCAGAAUCCCGUGAACCAUCGAGUCUUUGAACGCAAGUUGCGCCUGAAGCCAUUAGGCUGAAGGCACGCCUGCCUGGGCGUCACACGUCGUUGCCCCCCCAUCUACUCCUUCGGGAUUGCGGGGGGCGGAUGAUGGCCUCCCGUGCGCCUCGUCGCGCGGUUGGCAUAAAUGCCAAGUCCUCGGCGACGCACGCCACGACAAUCGGUGGUUGCGAAACCUCGGUUGCCCGUCGUGUGCGGUCGUCGCGCAUCGAGGGCUCGAAAAAAUUGCCGGGCUCCGGCUCGGCUUUCAACGCGACCCCAGGUCAGGCGGGGUUACCCGCUGAAUUUAAGCAUAUCAAUAAGCGGAGGA